rnacentral:lncRNA from 1 species
GCUUAAAAAAAGGAAUUGACAUUUCUGUAGCUUCCAGAUAGCACUUCGUGGAUUCUGUGGAAAAUCAAAGAAAGUAGAAGGGUUUUGGAAUCAAACAGAUCGGCAUGCAGUUCUCAGCAGCGAUCCGCUGUUAUGUGACCUUGGACCUGGCUCUUUCUCCCUCCCAUGGUUCAGCUUUUGGCCAUUUCAUUCGUCAUUUGCACCUACGGUGGGAAGAAGACAGAGAAGCUGAAGCACAGGCCAGGGAUGCCUUUCUUCUUUGGGUCUCUGGGGGCCUUCGAGGACAUCGGGACCUUCUCCCGGCCCUCAGCUCAAAACACCUCCUCACCCAGUUACUUCAACUGCUUAAACAGGCAGGAGCAGCUGGACAUCCCCAGCGCAGUGUUCCUCAGACCUGGCCAUCCGUGAAAGCACUGGAGCAAUGUAAAAUACAUCUAGAUCCUGAAUUAAGGCCUGACCGUGCCAGAGACUCCAGGGGUGGGGCCAGACGUCUGUAGUUUUAUAAUCUUCUCAGGUAGCUCUGAACAUAGAUGGGGCUGGGAACCACAGUCUUGGCAAGAGCUUCUCCAACAUCCCCUUCUGAACACAGAGAAGCUUCUGGAAGCCCCUGGGAAGAAUGUGGGUCUAUAGUUCAAGCUCCCAC